rnacentral:lncRNA from 1 species
AUGAAUACUCUGAAGCAAAUGUCACAUUUGUCAUCCAUCUUUUGAGAAUGCUAUGUCAAAACAUCCCUUUGAAAAUGUAUGUUAUUCUCCUAUGAUCAUCUCAUAUGGUCUAGUUAUGGUCCUCUUGGGGAUGAAGGGAGAAACUUAAGUAUAGAUAUAUUCACAGGAGAUUGGAUUAAACACAUCCAUCAGGGCUUCCAGUCACUUCUCAGUAACCUGACCAACCUAGCCAGAAGGUACUCCCUUAGAAUGGCCGACAGGCUAUUUCCAGAAAACACUUGUGAAUUACUCCAA